UACGUAGGGCGCAAGCGUUAUCCGGAAUUACUGGGCGUAAAGAGCUCGUAGGUGGUUUGUCGCGUUGUUCGUGAAAACUCACAGCUCAACUGUGGGCGUGCGGGCGAUACGGGCAGACUUGAGUACUGCAGGGGAGACUGGAAUUCCUGGUGUAGCGGUGAAAUGCGCAGAUAUCAGGAGGAACACCGAUGGCGAAGGCAGGUCUCUGGGCAUUAACUGACGCUGAGGAGCGGAAAGCCAUGGGGAGCGAACAGG
rnacentral:rRNA from 1 species